UGUAAAAUAAAUUAGAGGAAAAAACUCGAAAUCAAAAAAAUAUCGCUUUGAAAUAAACUAAAUAUAAAAUUAGUCCAUCAAUGUGUAUAAUGAAUAGAUUACGAAGAUUCCUGGAAAAACUGAUACUGGUGAAAAUUAUAGAUCAUUUCAAUUAGAUCACAACGGAAUCCCAAGCUUCAAAAGUUAUAAUAUCGAGCACUGGAACUGUGAAAUUUUGUCGGCGUUACAAAGAGACCUUAAGCAAUAUUUGGUGAACAACGGAAAAUUCUUGAAAUUGCUUUUCUUCUCCAAUCCCAAAAAAGAAAAAUAUUUCUACACCUCCAAGUUGGUGAGAUAGAAAAAGAAUAAUUGAAACUAAAACUCAUCGUCUCAGUCUGAUUUAAUAAGUACCCCCGAGUGCGUGUGUGUGUCAUAUAUGAAUGACUUCUACCACUGAGAGAUUUAUGCUGACACAUCAUGACUUCAAAAUAGACUUCCAUGGCAAAGAAAAAACGGCUGUUAAAGAAAAUCCCAAUAAUUGUGCAUUUGAACGCAUUCACUGUAAUUUGGCACAUAGCAAGUUGGCCAGCAGCAGCACAAAGAAAAAUCACCAGAAAUGCCGCUAACCAAACAAACACACACACGCGCGCACACAUGUACGCAUGCAACAAUUCCAUCUAACCUUUGUAAUCCAUGGUGGCAUGUAUCCCACUGUGAAUGACUUCUAAACAAAGCUAAGCGCGCAAUCGACCAAAUGGCCAAGCGGCAAUUGGCAAAAGAGCAUGAAACACCACGAAAAUAAGCUCAGAACAAUUUUAGAAGGUGUCAAGGUGCCAGAGUGGCUACAUUCCACCCAAGUGGCAAGCAAUGAAAUGAGGAAAAAUCAAAACAAAAUUUAAGUGGGGAAAAUUUUCGG